AGGGCCCUAACAGUGUGAAUCUGCGAUUUAUGCUUUGCCGUGUUUUUGCUAACUGCUACACGGAGCUUAUUGGAAGAGUUCUAGCAUUUGGUUGGGGGAAAAAAAAGCAGCAGCUCACAGGAAAUCUGGUACUUGGGGAGAAUCCAAGAUCAACAGACCAGCAAGCCUACUCAUUGUUCUUUAUCGUUUUGGGCUCUCUUCCAGCCCCUCUAGGUUUCCAUCUCUCUCCAAACCGCUUUCUGCAUUCUCACAUAUGUUAUAGAAAGUAUUAUGAUUUCAGAAAAGGCGCAUUCAUAUUUUAACAGCUUGAUCCACAAAAGGAUUUGUCCGUUUGUUUUGCUUUUGUUUGCUACAUCUCUUCUUAAUGCAAAUGUAUAAGCUUGAUUAUCCCUAAUGAGAGCGCCGCAUGUGUAUGUAUCAUCAGAGAAGGAAUAGAUGCCUUGGCAUAAUUAUCUGCGAAACUGGGUAUUUUUGGACUAUCCUGUCGGUGCAAUAAAUAUUUUACAUCCAGCACA